rnacentral:rRNA from 1 species
GGGCGUCGACCGGCGCACGGGUGAGUAACGCGUAUCCAACCUGCCCACACUUGGGGAUAACCUUGCGAAAGUAAGACUAAUACCCAAUGAUAUCCCACGAAGGCAUCGGAAUGGGAUUAAAGAUUUAUCGGUGAUGGAUGGGGAUGCGUCUGAUUAGCUUGUUGGCGGGGUAACGGCCCACCAAGGCAACGAUCAGUAGGGGUUCUGAGAGGAAGGUCCCCCACAUUGGAACUGAGACACGGUCCAAACUCCUACGGGAGGCAGCAGUGAGGAAUAUUGGUCAAUGGGCGAGAGCCUGAACCAGCCAAGUAGCGUGCAGGAUGACGGCCCUAUGGGUUGUAAACUGCUUUUAUAAGGGAAUAAAGUGAGUCUCGUGAGACUUUUUGCAUGUACCUUAUGAAUAAGGACCGGCUAAUUCCGUG